UACGGAGGGUGCAAGCGUUGUUCGGAAUUAUUGGGCGUAAAGCGCGUGUAGGCGGUUUUUUAAGUCUGAUGUGAAAGCCCCGGGCUCAACCUGGGAAGUGCAUUGGAUACUGGAAGACUUGAGUACGGGAGAGGGUAGUGGAAUUCUCGGUGUAGAGGUGAAAUUCGUAGAUAUCGAGAGGAACACCGGUGGCGAAGGCGGCCAUCUGGACGGUGACUGACGCUGAGACGCGAAAGCAUGGGGAGCAAACAGGAUUAGAAACCUUCGUAGU
rnacentral:rRNA from 1 species